GGCGGACGGGUGAGUAACGCGUGAGAAUUUACCAAAAGGACUGGGACAACCACUGGAAACGGUGGCUAAUACCGGAUGAACCGAAAAGUAAAAAGGGAAACCUGCCUUUUGAAGAGCUCGCGUCUGAUUAGCUAGUUGGUGAGGUAAGAGCUCACCAAGGCAGCGAUCAGUAGCUGGUCUGAGAGGAUGACCAGCCACACUGGGACUGAGACACGGCCCAGACUCCUACGGGAGGCAGCAGUGGGGAAUUUUCCGCAAUGGGCGAAAGCCUGACGGAGCAAUACCGCGUGAGGGAAGAAGGCUCUUGGGUCGUAAACCUCUUUUAUCAGGGAAGAAAAAAAUGACGGUACCUGAAGAAUCAGCCUCGGCUAACUCCGUGCCAGCAGCCGCGGUAAUACGGAGGAGGCAAGCGUUAUCCGGAAUUAUUGGGCGUAAAGCGUCCGCAGGUGGCUUAUCAAGUCUGCUGUCAAAGAGUGGGGCUUAACCCCAUUAAGGCAGUGGAAACUGAGAAGCUAGAGUGCCGUAGGGGUAGAGGGAAUUCCCGGUGUAGCGGUGAAAUGCGUAGAGAUCGGGAAGAACAUCGGUGGCGAAAGCGCUCUACUGGACGGCAACUGACACUCAGGGACGAAAGCUAGGGGAGCGAAUGGGAUUAGAUACCCCAGUAGUCCUAGCCGUAAACGAUGGAUACUAGGUGUGGCUUGUAUCGACCCGAGCCGUGCCGUAGCUAACGCGUUAAGUAUCCCGCCUGGGGAGUACGCACGCAAGUGUGAAACUCAAAGGAAUUGACGG
rnacentral:rRNA from 1 species